CCCCCCUCCCUCUCGGCCACAGCCUCCUCUCCUCCGCCUCCACCACCUCCUCCUCCCCUGCCUCUCCUCCGCCCAUGUCUCCUCACCCCCUCCCUCUGCCUCCAUGCUCAAAAGGAGGAGCCGGGGUCGCUGCCGCUGCGCCUCUACAUCGUCCUCACACAUCGUCGUCCUUGCCAUUCUGCCAGUGGAGAGCUCCUCCAUGAUGGCAUCCACCGGAUCUUGCCGGCCCAGAUCCACACGCCUCCUCAUUCCUCAGCAGCUUGUGGAGCCCUAUGAUGCGUCAACGACGCGUGACUACACUAGGUCGUGCUUCCCGCCGCUCCUAGUCACUGGGAGCCAUCCCGCCGGCGCGGCCCACCGCACGCUGCCACCAGCGUCUUCUUCAUGGCGGUAGAGGCGCAGCUUGGGCCCGGGGACCCUACCGGCGUGGGUACGCCGGCGCCGGCUUCAUCUCCAUGAGAGGGCCGAAUCAGGAUGGAUCCAAGCUGCCGACGUCUUUGCUGCCAUGGAUGAGCCCUCAUCUAGCGACCAAGGAAGGCAGGAGAAAUCCCUCCUCCUUGUGUUGUUGCAUCACUGCAUCCCCACGGUAGUCCAGGAGGAGCUCGACUGCCUUCUUUGAGAAGAAGAGAUGGCAGGAGGAUGAGGCCUGGGCUUGACAAGAAGUGGGUUGGAGCAAGAAGUAGAGCAGGCAAUGCCCCUCUCUUCAUUGGCAUCUGCACAGCCAAAUCAAGGACCUAAGCUCCUGGAACCGCCCUCCUAUGCCCUGCUCCUCUUGCAUUGGCGCAAAUUCGGCUCCUCCCCGCCUCCGUCUCCACGUGUGCAGCGACGACCCCGGGAGGAGCUCGAGCCGCAGAGGUGGUCCAUGGUGUCGUCGCUGUCAUCCUCGGCAGAAGAAGCGUGGGCUGCAGAGAUGGCCAGAUCCGUCCGAUCCUUGCGCUGCCGUCCGUCCACCAUCGAGGAUAAUGUGUUUGUUCAGCUGAUCUGUAUAGUUUCAAUACCGGGUUGUUAAGGAGAAUGCAGAUGAUGCAUAUUUCACGAGUUGCAGACCCCCCAACAGCAAAUUCAGUCCUACAUUUUUUAUGGUUACACAGAGAUGGCUGGCUCCGUCCUGCUCCAGUGAUGGCUUCCAUCCACCCGAUGAACAGGACUACAUGGGAGAUGUAUGACGACCUAGCAAACCCCCGUCUGGUCAGCAGGUACAAUGCCCACCUUUGCUCAAUUUGUGACUUUGGGAGGAAUUGGAGAUAGGAGAUGCAGAGAGAGGUUGCUGGAUGGCGAUGCAGGCGUAUUAGCGCCAACUCAAAUGCCUGCAACUUGUGAGGAGUGAUGUCGUUUAUUUACCUGUGAUGUAUUAAUAUCUCUAGAAUCUUGGGAAGAAGCUAUUCACCAUGAGGGUUUUUAUUCUAUGUCAUAUUUCAUUUAAUUUUGCUCAAGUUCGCAGCCUCUCUGUUAGGCACUUUCAGUUUGUAACUCGAAGCAUCUCAUUUUUCUGGUAUUUGCAUGUUCAGGUCAAGAUGUACAUUCUGGCUGGGCCAAAUAGUCAGUCCACUGUAUAUAGUUGCUUCAUACUGUCUAAAACUAUUUAGCUGAUAAGAACAUUUAAGCAAGUUGUGUUUUGUACCAUACUGCAUUGAAAUUUUCAUCAAGAAAUAUUUUAAGACUUCACAGUUAUUUCAAUCUGCCUUCACAAAGUAGAGUAAAUGAGAAAUUUAUUCUAUUCAUUACAAAUCAGUGACUUCUGGUACUUCAAAGUUUAAAGCAGUAUACAGUAUGCAAUGGUCUGUAGAGUGCAAUUGCUGAAAUUUCUCAGUACCCCCUUCUGUAUUUUGCUUUUUCUUGAGUAAGGCCGUACCAAAUUAUGGUUCAAACUUAUGUGUAUUCACAUAUUGGAUGUUGGCCUAACAGAGGUCAAAAUGUAAAAUAGUCAGGGGGUCUGCUCUCAGCCUCGUGUGGAUGCAACAUGCUUGUCGAAAUUUAAUUCUGUAAAAGAGAAAUACUGAUAUAACGCAAUGAUCAGUGUGGAGUAGGAUAGUUAUAGAGUUCUUCCUCGGUUUUCAUUGAGCAAAGAUUGGAAAUGUUUGACUCUUCUGUUGCCGUAAUUACCUCUCUAGGUUUGGAGAAAUUUAUGAUCACCAUGCACAUCCCCAUUACUUCCACUUAUGAUUUUGUAUCUAUAUGUAAAGUCAUUUGUCCUGAAAUUCUAUGCAGAAGUAUUCUGAUACUUUUCCUUAUGAGCCGGUGGCAGCCAAUGAGGGUUCCCCAUCCGAUGCUUGGUGCGGAGAAGGGGCCGUUCUCCUCUCAUGCAAGCGGCCCAAGUGCUGCCUGAUCCUUCCGUCCAAGAUGGAGGUGGUGAACAUCGAUGUGGCAACGCCUGAUGCGUACACGAGGCCGUUAUGUGUUGUGUCUGAUGUAAUUUGGAACUCUGGAAUUUUCAUGCCUGAAUGUUUGUCUUUGUGCUUGAAUUCAUUUGUGUUUGAUGUACUAUGAAUUAAUGAUUAGCUUUCCGAUUGACUUGGUUGUGUCUUUUGUCCGAAUCAAUUGAGAAAAAUCUGAAUAUAUAGCUGAAUGUGGUGGUUUCACACAUUCUGAACAA